AGCAGCCGCGGUAAUUCCAGCUCCAAUAGCGUAUAUUAAAGUUGUUGCAGUUAAAAAGCUCGUAGUUGAAUUUCGGGAUCAGUAUGUUGGUCGUGCUUCGGUACGUACUGUCAUUACUGGUUUCUACCUUCUGAAGAACCAUGAUGUCAUUAAUUUGGUGUCAUGGGGAAUCAGGACUGUUACUUUGAAAAAAUUAGAGUGUUUAAAGCAGGCUCGCGCUUGAAUACAUUAGCAUGGAAUAAUGAAAUAGGACGUUUGAUUCUAUUUUGUUGGUUUCUAGGAUCGACGUAAUGAUUAAUAGGGAUAGUUGGGGGCAUUAGUAUUCAAUUGUCAGAGGUGAAAUUCUUGGAUUUAUUGAAGACUAGCUACUGCGAAAGCAUUUGCCAAGGAUGUUUUCAUUAAUCAAGAACGAAAGUUAGGGGAUCGAAGACGAUCAGAUACCGUCGUAGUCUUAACCAUAAACUAUGCCGACUAGGGAUCGGAUGAUGUUAUUUUAAUGU
rnacentral:sRNA from 1 species